UGGGCGAUUGGCGCAGCGGUAGCGCGCUUCCCUGACACGGAAGAGGUCACUGGUUCGAUCCCAGUAUCGCCCACCC
rnacentral:tRNA from 1 species